UUGGUUAAGUUAGAAAGGGCGCACGGUGGAUGCCUUGGCACUAGGAGCCGAAGAAGGACGGGACUAACACCGAUAUGCUUUGGGGAGCUGUACGUAAGCGUUGAUCCAGAGAUUUCCGAAUGGGGGAACCCACUAUCUUUAGUCGGAUAGUAUCCUUACGUGAAUACAUAGCGUAAGGAAGGCAGACCCAGGGAACUGAAACAUCUAAGUACCUGGAGGAAGAGAAAGAAAAAUCGAUUUCCUGAGUAGCGGCGAGCGAAACGGAAAGAGCCCAAACCAAGAAGCUUGCUUCUUGGGGUUGUAGGACACUCUAUACGGAGUUACAAAAGAAAGUUAUAAAUGAAGCGGUCUGGAAAGGCCCGCCAAAGACGGUAACAGCCCGGUAGUUGAAAUGGCUUUCCCUCCAGAGUGGAUCCUGAGUACGGCGGAACACGUGAAAUUCCGUCGGAAUCCGGGAGGACCAUCUCCCAAGGCUAAAUACUCCCUAGUGACCGAUAGUGAACCAGUACCGUGAGGGAAAGGUGAAAAGCACCCCGGAAGGGGAGUGAAACAGUUCCUGAAACCGUGUGCCUACAAGUAGUUAGAGCCCGUUAAUGGGUGAUAGCGUGCCUUUUGUAGAAUGAACCGGCGAGUUACGAUUUGUUGCAAGGUUAAGCGGAAAAAGCGGAGCCGUAGCGAAAGCGAGUCUGAAUAGGGCGCAUAAGUAACAGGUCGUAGACCCGAAACCAGGUGAUCUACCCAUGUCCAGGAUGAAGGUAAGGUAAUACUUACUGGAGGUCCGAACCCACGCACGUUGAAAAGUGCGGGGAUGAGGUGUGGGUAGCGGAGAAAUUCCAAUCGAACUUGGAGAUAGCUGGUUCUCUCCGAAAUAGCUUUAGGGCUAGCCUCGAGGUAAAGAGUCAUGGAGGUAGAGCACUGUUUGGACUAGGGGCCCUUCUCGGGUUACCGAAUUCAGAUAAACUCCGAAUGCCAUGUACUUAUACUCGGGAGUCAGACUGCGAGUGAUAAGAUCCGUAGUCGAAAGGGAAACAGCCCAGACCACCAGUUAAGGUCCCCAAAUAUAUGUUAAGUGGAAAAGGAUGUGGGGUUGCUUAGACAACCAGGAUGUUGGCUUAGAAGCAGCCACCAUUGAAAGAGUGCGUAAUAGCUCACUGGUCGAGUGACCCCGCGCCGAAAAUGUACCGGGGCUAAACAUAUUACCGAAACUGUGGAUGAACCUC
rnacentral:rRNA from 1 species